GAAGCUGGUUCCACCAUUGGGGUGCCAGGACAGAGAAGAGCUUUGACUUGCCCUCCUAUAGGGGUGGGAGGGCCAAAAAAACAGAGGUGUAGGGUUUGAGUAUAGCCUGAAGGUAGGGAGGGGUACUUCCUCUUGCUGCUCCGUAGGCAAGUACAGAAAGGCAGUGAUCUGAGCUGUUAGUUUUUUUUUUACCUAUGGCCUGAACAACUGGGUUAAAUACACAGCUCCUAACUCUGAUCACUACCUCCUGGAAUUCCUCACCACUGAUCACUUAAAGAUGGGAGUUGAGGAAUAAUUGUCUCAAUGUGUGUAUAUGCAUGUUUGGGUGGUGGGUCAUUAUUUUAUUCAAAUGUAGUGCAGGAAUGCUUUGCUACGGGAAAAUGUUUGCAUUAACUCAACAUCAGUCCCUAUGGCAAGUCUGUAACUGAUGUCUUGCACAUAAGCGAUUUUGAAUUAGCUGAUUUGCUUAAACUCCUCAGUCACUUUACGAAACAUAUGUCUGUAGAAGUGCUCGCAACGGAAGUGGUCCAUCACACAGGAUUUGACACAUUAAAUACAAACUAUUUAACCGUAUUUAACACAACCCCACGUUUGUGUUGCUUCAGUAGUGUGUAAAUGCUCAUUCAUCGUUACGCCUUGACUAUUUGAUGGGAAGUUUGAGAGAAGGGCAUUUCCCAUCGUAAGAAUGCUAGGGAUGUUGAGUUUUAGGUCAUACAGCCAUCCCACUAGCAUGCCAGUGUCCGGCUCGGUAUAGGGCUGUAGGAAAACACUUGAUUCCCAUAUACUGAGAGCAACUGUUUUUUUCCCCUUACAUGUACUUAGUGCUCUGAUUCUUGACCUUUUGUUUUAAACACCAAAUCAUGGGGGUUAUUCAUUAGACUUAGUAGUACAUUUACCACCAUUUUAUAUUUUUUCAAUUCAGAAACAUGGGUAUUCUACUGUAUUUUUCCAAUAGAGGAAAAUAGGUGAUUUACUGGGGGAAAAUGUACUCUUUGUGUUAACAUCUAGAGUAUAAAGCAUGUAUACAUCAAUCUAAUCAGGAAUUCUUAACUGCUUUUACAUUCUACAUAUGGCUGUUGCGUUUUGUGAACAACCCCCAUUUUGUUUUAAGGAAGGAUUUCAUUUUGUGAAGUUGCCACUUUCAUCAUCUACUGUGUUUCCUCCCAAUGUGCUACCUUCCUUCCCAUCCAUGCAGACUUUCUUUUUGGUGGUGGCAUCACCGAGGGACCCCCGAUGUUAGUAAGGAAAACAAAACCACAAACUUUUUCACAUCGAAGUGAAUCUCACCACAGCCUCUCACUGUGUGUGGACAACUGUCCCCUGCAACCUAUCACCUCUGCUUCAAAGACUGUAUACAAUCUGAAUAUUUUGAUGCUCACUUGUUGUAUUUUUUUCUUGUUUGUAUUUUUAAUUUUAUUUUUGGUUUGUAAAUCUAUUUAAAACCAAAAUAAAGAUCUUUCUUAGAGGUUUGAGCUGUUUCUUAUAGCAGGAGUGAAUGGAUAUAUUCUAAUAGAUUUUAUAACUGUUUAUGGUGUAAUAUAUUUUCAUUGAAUAAUGAUCAUUGAAUACGAUUCUUAGCUCGCAAUUAUUCAUUAAAUACAUUUGUUUUGUGUUCUCUUUAUAGAUACUGUGGGAACGUAUUACCUGAGACAAUGGGAGUCUAUGACUCUGGGAUAACUCUGAGACACUUGGGAAUGUAUCACUCAGGGAGAACUCUGAGGUAAGACUGUUGUGUGUGCUAUUCUCAUCUCGAGUGUCAAAAGAAGCCACUUAACUUUAGAUUAACCUCAACACUCAGGUUGUUGCCCUUUUGGCCCUACUGGUUCUUGCACCCUUGUGAUGUCAGGUGACAAGGAAAGUUGUUGAUGAGAUCUGUAACCUGCAGUCACCCUGAAAGAUAGUUUAUCGCCACAACCCUAACAUGGUUAUUCAAGUAAUAGCCUUGUGUGAAGAGAUUUAUAUAGGCCUGUAAAGGGCUAUUAUGUAUUUUUUACCUCUAGGGGGCAACAUUACCUUUCACUAGAAUCUAGAGUAAAUAAGUGGGGCUGUUGUCAGCUAUAGUGUCGGUUUGCACAUGGUUUCAAUCUGCUGACCAACUGAAACCACAUUAGAUUCAACAGUAAACAUCACACAGACGGACAACUGAACUUUCCACCGUCAUAUCUGUUGGCAGGUGGUCCUCAUUCACUUACAAAAUGGCUCCUCUUGCAGUAGUGUGAGCAACAACAUCAAAAUAAUGCGUACAUCACCGUUAACAAAUAGCACACUGUAAAGUGAAACAUCAGACAGUUUCAGUUUUGAUUAUCUGAUGGUGUUCUAUGUCAAUGCCCAGGCUGCCUCACCUGUUGGGCAUUGAGGAAGAAGACCUCAUCCUUGUCUGAUUAGAGAGAACAUGGGCCUACUGGUCCAUUUUAUAUCUUCAGAACACACCCAGAAAGAGAGAGGGAGUCGCAUGACUCCCAAAAACACUUCUAGCAUUUUGAGGACUUAGUGACAGAUUGAAAUUUACUGGGGGGGUGUCAUUAAAAAAGAAAUGCACUCCCCUCCCCAACUAAAUUUGUUUUUCACAUGACCCUCCCCUUGUACUGUAAAAUAAAUUCAACACCCUCCCCCCUCAUAGAGUUAACAAAAAAAUGUUUAUGACCACAAAUAACUGUAGCGACCCUGUGUUUAUAAACGGAUAUCUAAUUCGCUACUGUAGCACAGUCGAGGCACAGCCGACACUGAUCAGCAAGGGGGAAAUCAGAUUUUCAACAUUUUGAUGGCAUAUUUAUAAUUAUAUAACAGAUAGAUAAUUUACGGAACUGUUGUCUGUAAGCCUCUGGGACCAAUUCGUAAGCCCGAAGGAUAGCAGUUUUAACAGUGUCCUAAUUUGAACUCUGGUCGAAAGAGAAAGCGGCGUACACUUUCUGAGCUUUUCCCACAAAAACACUUUGGAGGAGCAGUGACCAAAUAUACUACAUGGCCUUAAGUUUAAGCCUGGCUCACAGUCGGUGUUCCAAUUAAUCCCAAAGGUGUUCGAUGGGGUUGAGCUCAGGGCUCUGUGCAG